rnacentral:rRNA from 1 species
UGGCGAAUUUUGCGCAAUGGGGGAAACCCUGACGCAGCAACGCCGCGUGAGUGAUGAAGGCCUUCGGGUCGUAAAGCUCUGUCAGAGGGGAAGAAAUGCAGGGGUGCUAAUAUCAUCUUUGCUUGACGGUACCCUCAAAGGAAGCACCGGCUAACUCCGUGCCAGCAGCCGCGGUAAUACGGAGGGUGCGAGCGUUGUUCGGAAUUAUUGGGCGUAAAGCGCGUGUAGGCGGUUUGAUAAGUCUGAUGUGAAAGCCCCGGGCUCAACCUGGGAAGUGCAUUGGAAACUGUCAGACUUGAAUACGGGAGAGGGUAGUGGAAUUCCUAGUGUAGGAGUGAAAUCCGUAGAUAUUAGGAGGAACACCGGUGGCGAAGGCGGCUACCUGGACCGAUAUUGACGCUGAGACGCGAAAGCGUUGGGAGCAAACAG